rnacentral:lncRNA from 1 species
CUAGUCGGAUUUGUUUCCACAGCGCCACGAGGGGAACUCUCCAUAUGCCACGGGUGCAGCCCUAGAAAAGGCAAAAAGACAAAAAAGAGAGAGAGAGAAGUGAUAUCCGCACGUGGGACAGCCUGGCGUGGGUGCUGUUCGGGUGGAAGGUCGGCAGGCAGGAGCCUGUUGGGGGUCCUCUCAGCAAGGAGAGCCAGGUGGACGCCUGGGUCCUGGCUUCACUGUAGGUGCGUUGACCUGCAGUGCUUCCACCCAUCGCUAGACUGGCCAGGAGUGGACUGACCCGACAGCUGGGACCCCGCCACGCACUCGCCUUUCACGCCCCAUCAAAACCACGUGUGGAUGUGCUACUCUGAUCAUUUGAUUUAAUGGACGGGAUUUCUCUCUUUGGACCAUUAAAAGCUGCAGAUUAGUAUUUGUUGGAGACAGAUUCUUAAGUAAAAGAGCCUCGCUCAGUUUGUUGUCUCCAGUGCGUUGGCCUGCUUGGUGGGACUGGGCCUCAGCGAGGCUCUAGCCUCUGGCUCUGGUACGUCCCCCCUGGGACUGAGCCCCUUGCGUGUAGAGGGUUUUGUGUUUUAAAUCCUGAAACAUCACUGGUCUGUGUCCCCAGCUGAGACGCUGAGACCCUUCAAAUCCAGGGUCGGGUUUAAAACCGUGACUCUGUGAUUGCCAUACACAGGCUUCCUGGCUCCGGAACCAUGUGUGUCUUAGGGGCAAGAAUUUGGGGUGUUUUUCCCCGGUCAGGUGAGUCGAUCUUGCUAGUGCUGGCUCUCCUGAUCUUGACCUUGCCUCACCCGGCCGCGGUGUCCGCCUUAUCGAGCACAGGCGGCGUUUUGCGUCAAAGGGCAGGUACCCUCCCUGGCAGCUUCACUAGGCAAAGUGACCCACACCCUCUUUCUUGACAGGGAGUUCUUGAUCCUCCCGGGAUGACCUUUGAAGGUUCUUUCCAACCCUGCUAUUUUAUGGCCUGGUUUCUAAAUCCCCAGUGGAUUAGAGGGACGGAAGGACUUUUAUAGGAUAACAGCCAGAAGAACAAAGUGACUGCAAAAUACACGGAGAACUCGGUCACCCUAGAGAGCUCUGAAGCCCCCAGGCCCACGUUCUUUCUCACACCACACACGGUACUGCAGGCCCCUUUUCCUCCUGGCUCAGCGGAGAUUAGCAAGAGGAGCGAGGGGGAGAUUACUCCCCACGCGAGAGUUUUACUUCACAUGGUUACUUGGGAAAGUCUCGGCACUUGAGGGCUCAUUCCCUCGGGCCCCUGGAGAAGUGAGACGCUCUCAGUGGUCUAGGGUUUACUGCAGUGCGUUUUGCUGAAACGAAUGGCCUGAUGGAAGGGCUUCUUGCGCCGUCUUUCCCUUGAGGAAUUUGCCGAAGUCCUGGUAUUCGUAACUGAAGCGUGAGCAGUAGUAGUUUCACCUUAUCUGGGUGCGAGGCGAAAGGAUCUGGGUUGUGGGACGCAGAUGAGUGAUUUUUCUCUGGUUUUCUCCUUGUUCCCUCUCGCUUCCUGUCCCACCCCAGCAAAAGCUGGCAGGCUGACAGAGGCGGCCUCAGGACGGACCUUCUGGCUAUUGACCAUUUUGCUGGUAAGUCUGUCCUGUCAAGGGGGCUGUGGUUUGAGACCCGGAGUCUCACGGAGCACCCCCGCCCCUCGGGUGGGGCCGGGGGUGGGCUGCGAAGCUGCCCAACCGCUCCCCUGCCGUCUCGCUGCUGCUGUGUUCACAGCAGAGCCGGAGCUGCUCUCCAGCGGCCCUUGGUAGCUCCCGUCAGCACCAGGGGCGCCCGGGUGAACAGACGGACCGCGUACCCACAUGGCCUCAGUAGGAGCGGCCCCACGGCGUCUGCGUCUGGGGCUGGGUCAGGCCGGGAGGGCUUCAGUGGGGCCCUGGGGUGGGACUGCGUCUCCGGGGCCCUGGGCAUCCCGGUACUCUCCGCUGGAGCCUUUGUCUCCUUGGCGACGGCAGCUUUUCAGGGGCAGCUGUCCAGGGAUUUCUCCUCUUCACCACUCGGUGAGAGUUUGGGAAGCCCCUUGGGUCUGAAGGUGCAAGGGAGGGAAUGAGGUGGCACCUGCUGGUGGAGCAGGGUGGACGCUUGGCUGAAGCUCUCACCCGCGCCCGCCCUGGCAGCGCCGGCCGCCUGUGUGCCAUCUCCCUCUCCGCCUCCUCCCUCCGCUGCAGUGGCUCACCCGGACCGUGUGGAGGCGCGAGAUCAACCAUGAGCUCCGUUGCAGUUUUGACCCAAGAGAGCUUUGCUGAGCACCGCAGUGGACUCAUUCCGCAGCAGAUAAGAGUUGCCACUUUAAAUUCAGAAGAGGAGAGCGACCCUCCAACCUACAAGGAUGCCUUCCCCCCGCUCCCCGAGAAAGCAGCUUGCUUGGAAAACCCCCAGGAACCUGCCGGCGCCUGGAGCAACAAAAUCCGGCCCAUCAAGGCGUCCGUCAUCACUCAGGUGUUCCACGUACCCCUGGAGGAGAGGAAGUACAAGGACAUGAACCAGUUUGGAGAAGGUGAACAAGCCAAAAUCUGCCUCGAGAUCAUGCAGAGGACCGGCGCUCACCUGGAGCUGUCCCUCGCCAAAGACCAGGGCCUCUCCAUCAUGGUUUCUGGGAAGCUGGACGCCGUCAUGAAGGCCCGGAAGGACAUUGUCGCUCGGCUGCAGACUCAGGCCUCCGCCACCGUUGCCAUCCCCAAAGAGCACCAUCGCUUUGUCAUCGGCAAAAACGGAGAGAAACUGCAGGACUUGGAGCUCAAAACCGCAACCAAAAUCCAGAUCCCACGCCCCGAUGACGCCAGCAAUCAGAUCAGGAUCACCGGCACCAAAGAGGGCAUCGAGAAGGCUCGCCACGAGGUCCUGCUCAUCUCCGCGGAGCAGGUGAGGCCAGGCGGGCCGGGCCGGGCCGGGCCGUCCGGGGCCCUGGCCGGCGCGGCGCCCUCACGGCCGAGGGCCGCGCCCGCGCUGGCCGCCCUCCCUCCGACGCCCGGGCGCUCUCCUCAGAAAAAGAAGACCACCACCAUCGCGGUCGAGGUGAAGAAGUCCCAGCACAAGUACGUCAUCGGCCCCAAGGGCAACUCCUUGCAAGAGAUUCUGGAAAGAACCGGCGUUUCUGUGGAGAUCCCACCUUCAGACAGCGCCUCCGAGACUGUGAUCCUUCGAGGCGAGCCCGAGAAGCUGGGGCAGGCGUUGACAGAGGUCUAUGCCAAGGCCAACAGCUUCACGGUCUCCUCCGUCUCGGCUCCUUCCUGGCUUCACCGUUUCAUCAUUGGCAAGAAGGGUCAGAACCUGGCCAAAAUCACCCAGCAGAUGCCCAAGGUUCACGUUGAGUUCACAGAAGGCGAGGACAGGAUCACCCUGGAAGGCCCCACGGAGGACGUCAGCGCGGCCCAGGAGCAGAUCGAAGCCAUGGUCAAGGACUUGGUGAGCCGGAUGGACUACGUGGAGAUCAGCAUCGACCACAAGUUCCACAGACACCUCAUCGGGAAGAGCGGGGCCAACAUAAACAGGAUCAAGGACCAGUACAAGGUGUCGGUGCGCAUACCCCCCGACAGCGAGAGGAGCAGCCUGAUCCGCAUCGAGGGCGACCCGCAGGGCGUGCAGCAGGCCAAGCGCGAGCUGCUGGAGCUCGCCUCCCGCAUGGAGAACGAGCGCACCAAGGAUCUGAUCAUCGAGCAGAGGUUCCAUCGCACCAUCAUCGGGCAGAAGGGGGAGCGGAUCCGAGAGAUUCGGGACAAAUUCCCGGAGGUUAUCAUCAACUUUCCAGACCCAGCCCAGAAAAGCGAUAUUGUUCAACUCAGGGGGCCCAAGAACGAGGUGGAAAAAUGCACGAAAUACAUGCAGAAGAUGGUGGCAGAUCUGGUGGAAAACAGCUAUUCGAUUUCUGUUCCGAUCUUCAAGCAGUUUCACAAGAACAUCAUCGGGAAAGGAGGGGCCAACAUUAAGAAGAUUCGAGAAGAGAGCAACACCAAGAUCGACCUCCCCGCCGAGAACAGCAACUCAGAGACCAUUGUCAUCACAGGCAAGCGAGCCAACUGCGAGGCUGCCCGGAGCCGCAUUCUGUCCAUCCAGAAAGACCUGGCCAACAUCGCCGAGGUGGAGGUCGCCAUCCCUGCCCGGCUGCACAACGCCCUCAUCGGCACCAAGGGCCGGCUCAUCCGCUCCAUCAUGGAGGAGUGCGGCGGCGUCCACAUCCACUUCCCCGUGGAAGGCUCCGGGAGCGACACCGUGGUCAUCAGGGGCCCUUCCUCCGACGUGGAGAAGGCCCGCAAGCAGCUCCUGCACCUGGCGGAGGAGAAGCAAACCAAGAGCUUCACCGUCGACAUCCGAGCCAAGCCGGAAUACCACAAGUUCCUCAUCGGCAAAGGGGGCGGCAAAAUCCGCAAGGUGCGCGACAGCACCGGGGCCCGCAUCAUCUUCCCCGCCGCCGAGGACAAGGACCAGGACCUGAUCACCAUCAUAGGCAGGGAGGACGCCGUCCGGGAGGCCCAGCGGGAGCUGGAGGCCCUGAUCCAGAACCUGGACAACGUGGUUGAGGACUUCAUGCUGGUGGACCCCAGGCACCACCGUCACUUUGUCAUCCGACGAGGCCAGGUCCUGCGGGAGAUCGCGGAGGAGUACGGCGGGGUGAUGGUUAGCUUCCCCCGCUCCGGCACGCAGAGCGACAGAGUCACCCUGAAGGGGGCCAAGGACUGCGUGGAGGCGGCCAAGAAGCGCAUUCAGGAGAUCAUCGAGGACCUGGAAGCCCAGGUGACCAUAGAGUGCGCCAUUCCCCAGAAGUUCCAUCGCUCGGUCAUGGGCCCCAAAGGUUCCAGAAUCCAGCAGAUAACUCGCGACCAUAACGUUCAGAUUAAAUUCCCAGACAGAGAGGAGAACCCAGCGCACGGCACGGAGCCAGCCGUCCAGGAGAACGGCGACGACCCCGGGGAGGGGAGAGACGGGAAGGAGGCCGAGCCCGGCUCCCCCAGGAGAUGCGACAUCAUCACCAUCUCCGGCCGGAAGGAGAAGUGCGAGGCCGCCAAGGAGGCCCUUGAGGCCCUGGUUCCCGUCACCAUUGAGGUGGAGGUGCCCCUUGACCUUCACCGGUACAUCAUCGGCCAGAAGGGGAGCGGGAUCCGCAGGAUGAUGGACGAGUUUGAGGUGAAUAUUCACGUCCCGGCCCCCGAGCUGCAGUCAGGCGUCAUCGCCAUCACGGGCCUGGCUGCCAACCUGGACCGGGCCAAGGCUGGGCUGCUGGAGCGGGUGAAGGAGCUGCAGGCGGAGCAGGAAGACCGGGCUUUGCGGAGCUUCAAGCUGAGCGUCACCGUUGACCCCAAGUACCACCCCAAGAUCAUCGGGCGAAAGGGGGCGGUGAUCACCCAGAUCCGCCUGGAGCACGACGUCAACAUCCAGUUUCCUGAUAAGGACGAUGGGAGCCAGCCGCAGGACCACAUCACCAUCACGGGCUACGAGAAGAACACCGAGGCCGCCCGGGACGCCAUCCUCAAGAUCGUGGGGGAGCUCGAGCAGAUGGUUUCUGAGGACGUGCCGCUCGACCACCGCGUCCACGCCCGCAUCAUCGGUGCCCGCGGCAAAGCCAUCCGCAAGAUCAUGGAUGAGUUCAAGGUGGACAUUCGCUUCCCGCAGAGCGGGGCCCCCGACCCCAACUGCGUCACCGUGACGGGGCUGCCGGAGAACGUGGAGGAAGCCAUCGACCACAUCCUCAACCUGGAGGAGGAAUACCUGGCCGACGUGGUGGACACCGAGGCGCUGCAGCUGUACAUGAAGCCCCCGGCCCACGAGGAGGCCAAGGCGCCGUCCAGGGGCUUCGUGGUGCGGGACGCCCCCUGGACCGCCAGCAGCAGCGAGAAGGCUCCCGACAUGAGCAGCUCGGAGGAGUUCCCCAGCUUCGGGGCUCAGGUGGCCCCCAAGACCCUCCCCUGGGGCCCCAAACGAUAAUGCUCGACAAGCAGAAACCUCUCCAGCCUGCUGACCUGAACCCGCCACACGAUGGUCCGUCUCAAUCCGACCCAGCGGCUGGACCCUCCGCAAAUUCUUGACGCCCCUUCCCCGAGGUCUCACAGCGAAGCCGGCGUGGCCCGCGCCCUGGCGGCCGGGUCUCAGGCCUGGCCGCCCCCGGCACAGGCUCUGCUCCCGACCUCUGUGCUGGGGUGGCGGCCGCACGAGCCCCGCGGAGGCCCGCGUCAUCCACCCGGCCUGCCCCGGCUCCGGCCUCCCCGGGAGAGCGCUGCAGCUGCGGCCGCGUCCACUUCCUGUGUCACGACCUCAGGAAAUAAAUGUCCUUGACUUU